rnacentral:rRNA from 1 species
AGUGAACGCUGGUGGUAGGCCUAACACAUGCAAGUCGAACGGCAGCACAGUAAGAGCUUGCUCUUACGGGUUGCGAGUGGCGGACGGGUGAGGAAUACAUCGGAAUCUACUUUUUCGUGGGGGAUAACGUAGGGAAACUUACGCUAAUACCGCAUACGACCUACGGGUGAAAGCAGGGGAUCUUCGGACCUUGCGCGAUUGAAUGAGCCGAUGUCGGAUUAGCUAGUUGGCGGGGUAAAGGCCCACCAAGGUGACGAUCCGUAGCUGGUCUGAGAGGAUGAUCAGCCACACUGGAACUGAGACACGGUCCAGACUCCUACGGGAGGCAGCAGUGGGGAAUAUUGGACAAUGGGCGCAAGCCUGAUCCAGCCAUACCGCGUGGGUGAAGAAGGCCUUCGGGUUGUAAAGCCCUUUUGUUGGGAAAGAAAAGCAGCAGGUUAAUACCCCGCUGUUCUGACGGUACCCAAAGAAUAAGCACCGGCUAACUUCGUG